ensembl:snoRNA
AUCCUUUUGUAGUUCAUAGGCGUGAUGACUGGGUUUUCAUGUGUGAGAUGUGCCUUCCACCAACUUGUUACGAUAUUGGCACAUUAUCCAUCUAACA